AGUGAACGCUGGCGGUAGGCCUAACACAUGCAAGUCGAACGGCAGCACAGUAAGAGCUUGCUCUUACGGGUGGCGAGUGGCGGACGGGUGAGGAAUACAUCGGAAUCUACUUUUUCGUGGGGGAUAACGUAGGGAAACUUACGCUAAUACCGCAUACGACCUACGGGUGAAAGCAGGGGAUCUUCGGACCUUGCGCGAUUGAAUGAGCCGAUGUCGGAUUAGCUAGUUGGCGGGGUAAAGGCCCACCAAGGCGACGAUCCGUAGCUGGUCUGAGAGGAUGAUCAGCCACACUGGAACUGAGACACGGUCCAGACUCCUACGGGAGGCAGCAGUGGGGAAUAUUGGACAAUGGGCGCAAGCCUGAUCCAGCCAUGCCGCGUGCAGGAUGAAGGCCUUCGGGUUGUAAACUGCUUUUGUACGGAACGAAAAGCCUUCUUUUAAUACAGGAGGGUCAUGACGGUACCGUAAGAAUAAGCACCGGCUAACUACGUG
rnacentral:rRNA from 1 species